rnacentral:lncRNA from 1 species
GAGAAGCGCGCAGCUCCCCAUAAAUCAGCGGUGUGCAGGGCGACGAGGAAGGCAGGACUUAAAAUUCCAGGCAGGAGAUGGGCACUCUCGGAUUCCGGGCUGCAGAGGAGCCGACCUUGAGCCUCAAGAUUGGCCACCAGGGGGCGCGCGCUCGCAGGUGGAUCUGUCUUGGCAACGGCACCCCCGUCCCAGCGCGCCUGGCCAGCCCGGCUCCCGCUCGCUCUCCAUCUUCUCUCCCUCCCGCCGGAGCGCGCCCCGUCUCUAUUCCUCACAGCGCUUCCUCGCCUCUCCCUUUCACUCUCUCUCUCUUACUUAUCCUUUCUGUUUCUUUGUUGUUGCUUUUUUAAGACGGGGAAAGCAGAGUGAGAAAUAAGAUUACAAAAUGCCACUCGGGGUUGCAGAGAAGGGGGAAAAAAUUCGUCUUCGCCCCCUGGCCUCCACCCUCUCUUGGUCCAAAGAGGUGGUGGGUGGGCGGGUGGGCGCGUCGGGGGAAGUCUAGAGCGUGCUCGAAAUCUCUUGACCCUCUGGAGUAUCGACUUUGGUCCCAAGAAAUGGCUCGUGGCCGCCUGGAGGGCGCUGCUGCGGGCGGGCUGGGGGGUCCCGGAGAGCCCACCGGGUGGAGAUGGGGGUCGGUUCCGCCACCCCCCUGCGCCCGGCCGAGGAGCAGCCACCGGCUGAGCGCGGACCCCGGAGGGAACGCGGGCUGGAGCCCCGGGCGGCGGGCGCCCGGCCUUCGGGUUCGGCGGGGCG